GCCCGCCUAGCUCAAUCGGAUAGAGCGUCAGACUCUUAGUUGCGGGUAUCUGAAGGCUGCGAGUUCGACCCUCGCGGUGGGCU